CAUGGUUGUCGUCAGCUCGUGUCGUGAGAUGUUGGGUUAAGUCCCGCAACGAGCGCAACCCUUGUCUUUAGUUGCCAUCAUUAAGUUGGGCACUCUAAAGAGACUGCCGAUGACAAAUCGGAGGAAGGUGGGGAUGACGUCAAAUCAUCAUGCCCUUUAUGUCCUGGGCUACACACGUGCUACAAUGGUCGGUACAACGAGAAGCAAGCCAGCGAUGGCAAGCAAAUCUCUAAAAGCCAAUCCCAGUUCGGAUUGCAGGCUGCAACUCGCCUGCAUGAAGUCGGAGUUGCUAGUAAUCGCGGAUCAGAAUGCCGCGGUGAAUGCGUUCCCGGGUCUU
rnacentral:rRNA from 2 species